GUGGGGAAUCUUGCGCAAUGGGCGAAAGCCUGACGCAGCCAUGCCGCGUGAAUGAUGAAGGUCUUAGGAUUGUAAAAUUCUUUCACCGGGGACGAUAAUGACGGUACCCGGAGAAGAAGCCCCGGCUAACUUCGUGCCAGCAGCCGCGGUAAUACGAAGGGGGCUAGCGUUGCUCGGAAUUACUGGGCGUAAAGGGCGCGUAGGCGGAUCGUUAAGUCAGGGGUGAAAUCCCAGAGCUCAACUCUGGAACUGCCCUUGAUACUGGCGAUCUUGAGUGUGAUAGAGGUAUGUGGAACUCCGAGUGUAGAGGUGAAAUUCGUAGAUAUUCGGAAGAACACCAGUGGCGAAGGCGACAUACUGGCUCAUUACUGACGCUGAGGCGCGAAAGCGUGGGGAGCAAACAGGAUUAGAAACCCCGGUAGUCC
rnacentral:rRNA from 1 species